CAAUAGCGUAUAUUUAAGUUGCUGCAGUUAAAAAGCUCGUAGUUGGAUUUCGGGUGGGAAUGGCCGGUCCGCCGUUUCGGUGUGCACUUGCUACGCCCACCUUGCUGCCGGGGACGUGCUCUUGAGUUCACGCUCGGGACACGGAGUCGGCGAGGUUACUUUGAGUAAAUUAGAGUGUUCAAAGCAGGCCUACGCUCUGAAUACAUUAGCAUGGAAUAACACGAUAGGACUCUGGCCUAUCUUGUUGGUCUGUGAGACCAGAGUAAUGAUUAAGAGGGACAGUCGGGGACAUUCGUAUUUCAUUGUCAGAGGUGAAAUUCUUGGAUUUAUGAAAGACGAACUACUGCGAAAGCAUUUGCCAAGGAUGUUUUCAUUAA
rnacentral:rRNA from 1 species